rnacentral:rRNA from 1 species
UACGUAGGUGGCUAGCGUUGUCCGGAUUUACUGGGCGUAAAGGGAGCGUAUGCGGACUUUUAAGUGAGAUGUGAAAUACCCGGGCUCAACUUGGGUGCUGCAUUUCAAACUGGAAGUCUAGAGUGCAGGAGAGGAGAAUGGAAUUCCUAGUGUAGCGGUGAAAUGCGUAGAGAUUAGGAAGAACACCAGUGGCGAAGGCGAUUCUCUGGACUGUAACUGACGCUGAGGCUCGAAAGCGUGGGGAGCAAACAGGAUUAGAUA